CAGAUACUCGUGAGAGACUUGCCAAAGAG
rnacentral:piRNA from 1 species